CUAAGAGUUGUCUACAUGUGGGCUAUAACACUUCGUUGCCCAGUGUGUGAGUUGGUGCCGGUGGUACUGUCAACAUGAAAGCCAGGUGAGACGUGGAACAAGUAAUUAGGAAUGCAGAGCUACCUUUUUCAAACCAGAACGAUAUGUUUUUACCACAAUGAAAAUUGUCACCUUUUGUCUCUCUUGCUCUCUUAGUGGUGCUGCUCUGUUCACAAGGAAGAAUCCCUUCCCGCCAGACCCACCUCUGGGAAAAACCCAUUACAACCCUUCACGCACCAAGAAGCUUCCAAAGCAACGGAGAAAAACCACCCUGAGCCCUGUUCACCUUGCCCAGCUGUCCAGCCCUCUUCUCCAGACACACUCACUGAGCCCAGAGGACCAGUGCUUCCUUGGGGCAGCCAACCACUUUGUCCUCUGUUCUCCUCCUGCCACAGAGGCCCAGCCUAGUUUCUUAGAGUCCUGGCCCUCCACUGACCUUGGGUCCUCCCCGGCCAACUCUGCCGCCUCCCCGAACACAGACACACUGACACGGGACCCAACAUCGGGAAAGUCCCUGGUCUCCACUGGGGGAGGAGAGCAGGAAGAUUCAGUGUUGGCAAAGUACAUUGAACGCUUUCGUCACGGAAGGCCACAGAGUCGAGAGGUGCGUCAGCAGAUGUCGGCAAUGGUGGGAGAGGGCCAGCAGCCUUUCUGGUGGCUGUCCUCCUCCCCUCUACCCUCCAGUUCUACACCCACUCAAACCACUGACAUAGGCCUUUCCCUUAGAAAAGACUCAGCCACCACCCUCAGUCCAGUUGGGCAGUUUCGGCAUGGCACCACCCUCUCCCCAUGCAGGGGACUCCUUGAUCUUAGUGCCAUGGGCCUGUCAGACUCUUCUCACGGUGACCUUGGAGACUCCGAGAUACUGCAUCUGCAGGAGAAGGCCAGUAGACUCCUUCACAGAAGUGAGCACUCACUCAGUAGUGGAUCUAUUCCCAUCAGCUCUGAGGGCCUGGGCUGCUCCAAUUUUUCCUCCCCUGUGAGCAUAGAUGAGCCAGUCCGAAGGCCUAUAGUUACCAGUCUUAUCGACUCAACCACUGUUGUGGGGAACCUAAGCUCAGCAGACCUCUAUGCUGGAACCGUGCCCAAACCGUCUGUGGUUGGUCCCCCGGACCCCCGCACACGCCCAGAGGAGGACAUCCUGUUUCAGUGGCGUCUGAGGAGAAAGAUGGAGCAGGCCAGUCAGUGGGUUCGGUCAAACCCACAGCAGGGUUACACCCUUCAUCAGCACUCUGUGAGCUGUCAGGCUCACAAGGUACAGCGGAAUCCUCUCCCUGCCUAUUCCUCUCAUAGAGUUGCCCCCUCCCUCCCCAUCACCAGCCCCACCGUCUCUAAGUUGCAGCCGGAUGCCCCUGUCCGUCCCCACAUGCACCUCCUCUGUGACAUCCUUUCUUGUACCGCUCAGCCCCACUCCCCUCCACCCAGCCACCAGAGGAGCCCAAAGAGGAGUGAGGUCUCUGGGGCCGACCGGACCGUCAGGCAGCCCAAAGCCCAGUUCAGCUCCACAGACACCUCCACUGAGGAGCCCACUAGUAAACAUGAGUCCUCUCCACCACCGCCCGCCUUGUCUGUGACCACAGAGGAAGAGUGGGCAGUUCAACAGAGGAGAACCGAGAGGACAAAAAAGGAGACACUACAGAAGGAGAGGAGUGAGAAGCGGACAGGGCCGUCCUGCAGAAAGAAGAAAUUAGCCAGGUGUCACGUUGGUGACGGGGACCAUGCUGAGAGGCCCAGCUAUGCAGAUUGGAGUGUGAGCCAACACCACACCAGAGGUAAAGACCGGGUCAUCCCAUGGAGGGAGGAGCCCAGCAGAGACUGGGGGCAACAGGAAAGGGGGCCGGGGGUAGUGAGAGAGGGCUGCCCUGGAGAUCGUGCUCCACCACCCUCUCCCAUACACAGCGCCCUGGGACAGGUAGUUUCAGAGGUAUUGUUCCUGACCACGGACUCCCCGGACCCGCCCAGAACUCCUGUGUCCUCUGACUCUCCCAGAUAUGUGCCCCCGCAGUCCCCUGCCCCGCCUCCCAGUGCACAGCAUCCACGGGAGGUUGUAGCUCAGCUGCUUCAGGAGGCUGAAGAUUCAGACGAGCAGGAGUUUAAAGAUGACCCCUUACUGAAGGUCUUAAGGCAGCAGAGGAAGUGGGUGAAGGAGCAAAUCGGCGAGGUGGACUCGCUGUUGGAUGAAUUCCAGGAAGAGUGAGCACUGGUGUUGUGCACACAUGGAACAAAAACAACCAAUCAAUUCAACAGCAUUUUUAUUUUUGUACAAAAAUAUAUAGUGCAUUUAUUUUGAACUAAUUCUCUUCUUACAAUAAAUAGAAAAUAUACAACAACCUUACUGUUGGGUUUUGUGAACAUACUUGAUAAUCUCGGAGUGUUAAAACAUUUACUCAUGACUUAGAGAGCAUUAGACACUCCACACAAUACAAAUCAACAUUUUCAAUGGUUUUAUAUCAUAUUUACAAUGAACGGUUCCAUUAAAAACAUUUUAAGAUUGAGUUAAAUGGGAUUCUUUAGGAUGAGGGAUGCUUUUAAAUGAGGAAUCUGUCCUGUUAAUAUGUACAAACCUCAGAGAAAGAGAGAGCAGGGAAUUUUAAUGGUGUGAUGGUGUAGUUAAUGGGUGUUUUGGUACAGGCAGGCACCAGUUCCUUGGUGAGUGUUUGAUAUGUCUGUUGGAGGAGAGUGCCUGUAUUUUUGUGUGUGCAUAGUUUACCAAGCUACCAAUUACUUCACACUGGAAGAAGUUAAGCUACAAUAAAGUUACCCUUAACUACAUUUUUAUUUUCUUUAACUAAAAUGAAUUUGAAAAGAGUUCACUACAUCAAACUACUUUGAUAAAUUAUCAUAUUUAAGUUUGAAAUGUCAGACUACAAAUUGCAAGAACAGUUCACUCUGGAGUAAGAUGUUAACAGAAUGUGUAAUUUAGCAUAUUAAACAACUAUGUUUCAAGUGAGAACUAGAAAGGAGUAAUACUGAAAAAGAAAGGAAAUUAUUGCUUACUACACCCAUAAUUAUUUUUCUAUUUGCAAAAAAAGUAGUGUAAUCCCAGUAGUUAGCUACACUGCUACAUGGCAAAAAAAGAAGUUAACUACUAAAUACUACCAAGAUUUGAACUGCCACCAUCUACUGCAAAAAGUAGUUAAAUUACUAGUUGAACUACAUGUAGUUUACUACUCCCCAACACUGGUUCCUAUGGAUUGUGUGUUUGUUCCUAGGGUGUGAAUGCUCAUGAUUCUGAGUGGGACAGGUGUCCGGAGUUCUCCCCCUGCAGCAUAGGGGCAGAUAUGAUGAGGAUGCUUUCAGGCGACACAGCCGACUACUGAGCCAUGGAGUCCACUCCCUCUGGAAUCCUGUAGCACCGGUUGAACUAUCGCGUCACCACCCCCGACCCAUCCUGCAAACACACGUUUAUAGUGAACACAGUCAGUGAGGAAUGCUCAUUUUCAGGCUAACAAGUGGUCUGGUUUCCAGUCUGGUCGGUAGUUGGUUGAAGCAUAAACUGACUGCAUAGUAACCAGGCUAUAUUCAAUGUCUGUCAUCACAAACUAUGGAAAUGUGAUUAUGAAUAGAGAACAACUCUUGCAUAAUACAUGCAACACAGUAGUUGCUUACUUUUUUCUCUUUGUGUUUCCCUUGGACCUACACAAAGUCUCCUGUCACCUUGACCAUCAGCUCCUCUGGGUUGAAGUGUUUCACAUCAACCUGAACUGUGAAUCUACUGUGGUCACAACACACCUGGCAACAGGGGAAGAUACCCAAUAUUACUACUCAAAUUGACACUAUUGCUGCUCUAUUACUGCUGGUUUAAUCUACUUCUAUGUAAUUAUAUUCAAACGAUAAGAAAAUGCAAGAGCACCUGCCAUAAAUGGGCAUUCAUUAAAUGUCAGUAGAAUAUAGAAAGUAAAACACAAAAUUAAUUAAUCAAGGCUACCUCAUUGAUACAGAACAAAGUCAUGAAAAAUGAAUCUAAAAAUGGUUUUAUCAGUGAGAGAUUAGAGCACUGCAUGCAUGCAGUGUAACGGGAAUAAACCUACUGCCAACACACUGUCAAUGACACUGACUCUACUCCAGCCACUUUAAUCAUGGGAAUCGAUGGGAAAUGAUGUAAAUAUAUCACUAGCCACUUUAAACAAUGCUACCUUAUAUAAUGUUACUUACCCUACAUUGUUCAUCUCAUAUGCAUACGUUGAUACUGUACUCUAUAUCAUCGACUGCAUCCUUAUGUAAUACAUGUAUCACUAGCCACUUUAUUGGUUACAUACUUAUCUCAUAUGUAUAU
ensembl:lncRNA